rnacentral:tRNA from 1 species
AGCAGUGUGGCUUAGUGGAAAAAGCAUUGGCAUGGGAGUCAGAGGUCAUGGGUUCUAAUCCCGGCUCUGUCA